GCACUAAAUAUUUUUGUGGAGGCAAAAAACAAAAGUCCCUAUAAAUAUCUUAAAACUCCCGCGAUAAACGUUCAGACUUUCUCAGACCCCUAUCCCGCUUGAUUUAAAGCUUCUUCUGGGAGGGAAAGAAGAGGAAGAAGUGUUAAAUUUGCUCCCUACGAUGGAUCAGUUUGACGAGUCUUGCAAGAACCAAAUAGCAGGACUUUCGCAAGUUCGAAAUGUGACAAGAUACGUUAAAAAGGGCGAUACGCUGAGCGAAAUUGAAGAGGAUCUUUUCUUGGGUUCCAUUGGAGCUGCAAAGAACAAGACCGCACUGAAAAGCUUGAAUGUUACACAUGUACUGACUCUGGCUAGUUCAUUGCCACCCGCACAUCCAAAUGAUUUUGUAUAUAAAGUCAUCAAUGGUAUGAAAGUUCAUUCUUGUGGAAUAUGUAAUUUUCAAAAUCUUCGAGUAUAUAUAUGUGUGUGUGUGUGUAGCCACGCGCACAGUAAUGAAGAUUUCCUUCAGGUUCUAAAGUUUAUUCCUCUGUUUCUAUAUCUUAUGUUUCUCCUUUAAUCUAUAGUUCUUUGAGCACAGCACUCCAUUAUCUGCUCCUUGCAUCUAACUUAACUGUUUUGGGUCAGCUAAAAUUAUGUUUUAACUCUAUUUUUUUUUUUUUUUUUUUUAUUUAAGGUGAUUUCCAUUUGUGUUUGUCAUUUCUAAUCAUAAAUUCAUACAUCCUGGUAAUAGUUUCUCAAAUGAAUUAGUUUCACUAAUCUCUCUUUUUCUGUGGAUUUAUCUCACAGUGCCGUGUUACAUUUGUUUUGCCAACACCUAAUAUGUUUUUAAUGCCUUGAAUAUAUGAGUAUGGUGAUGCUUAUCAUUGGUUUGGACCUUGUUGAGCCUCU